GAGUUUGAUCCUGGCUCAGGAUGAACGCUGGCGGCGUGCUUAACACAUGCAAGUCGAACGAAGCAGCAUGGAACGAAUCUUCGGAGGAGGGAAAUGGUGACUGAGUGGCGGACGGGUGAGUAACGCGUGGGUAACCUGCCUCGUACAGGGGGACAACAGUUGGAAACGACUGCUAAUACCGCAUAAGCGCACGAUACUGCAUGGUAUUGUGUGAAAAACUGAGGUGGUACGAGAUGGACCCGCGUCUGAUUAGCUGGUUGGUGGGGUAACGGCCUACCAAGGCGACGAUCAGUAGCCGACCUGAGAGGGUGACCGGCCACAUUGGGACUGAGACACGGCCCAAACUCCUACGGGAGGCAGCAGUGGGGAAUAUUGCACAAUGGGGGAAACCCUGAUGCAGCGACGCCGCGUGAAGGAAGAAGUAUUUCGGUAUGUAAACUUCUAUCAGCAGGGAAGAAAAUGACGGUACCUGAGUAAGAAGCCCCGGCUAACUACGUGCCAGCAGCCGCGGUAAUACGUAGGGGGCAAGCGUUAUCCGGAUUUACUGGGUGUAAAGGGAGCGUAGACGGUAAUGUAAGUCUGAUGUGAA
rnacentral:rRNA from 1 species